CCUACGGGAGGCAGCAGUGAGGAAUAUUGGUCAAUGGGCUUACGCCUGAACCAGCCAAGUCGCGUGAGGGAAGACUGCCCUAUGGGUUGUAAACCUCUUUUGUCAGGGAGCAACGCCGGCUACGUGUAGCCGGACUGAGAGUCCCUGCAGACAAAGCAUCGGCUAACUCCUUGCCAGCAGCCGCGGUAAUACGGAGGAUGCGAGCGUUAUCCGGAUUUAUUGGGUUUAAAGGGUGCGUAGGCGGAAUGCCAAGUCAGCGGUAAAAUCGCGGGGCUCAACCUCGCUCCGCCGUUGAAACUGGCGUUCUGGAGUGGGCGAGAAGUAUGCGGAAUGCGUGGUGUAGCGGUGAAAUGCAUAGAUAUCACGCAGAACUCCGAUUGCGAAGGCAGCAUACCGGCGCCCAACUGACGCUGAAGCACGAAAGCGUGGGUAUCGAACAGGAUUAGAUACCCUGGUAGUC
rnacentral:rRNA from 1 species